rnacentral:lncRNA from 10 species
GGAGCGAUCAAGCAAGCCUGCAGUAACCAGGGAAGCCCCUGGAGCAGGGUUUUGAGUGAGCAUUUGCAGGGGCAGCCUUGGUGCCAUCGUCCUGGAGAGCGGAGUGCACAAGGCAGUGCAAAGAGCUCGUGCGGGCCAGAACAUGCAUCAUGAUGGCAUCAUUUAUAAUUCUGGGCCCUGGUAACUGGAUGGGUCUUUGUUUUCUAAGUGCUCAGAAGGUGGAGAUGUGCAGGUUUGAAGGCAGAAGCCACGAGAUUUUCAAGGAUGAAGAAUUCCUCUGGUAAAUUCC